GACGAACGCUGGCGGCGUGCUUAACACAUGCAAGUCGAACGGUGAAGGGCCCUGUUUUUUCUGUUUCUGGAUGAGUGGCGACCGGGUGAGUAACACGUUAGUAACCUUCCCCCCUCUUCUGGAUAACCGCAUUAAAGUGUUGCUAAUUCGGGAUAUUCGGCGCCUUCUGCAUUGGUGGGGUUGUAAAGGUGUUGUUUUGGUGGGGGAUGGGCUCGCGGCGUAUCAGCUUGUUGGUGGAGUGAGGGCCUACCGAGGCGGUGACGGGUAGCCGGCCUGAGGGGGUGGACGGUCAAAAGGGGACGGAGACACGGCGCGGACUAGUAAGGGCGGCAGCAGUGGGGAAUAGUGGAAGAUGGGAGUAAGGCUGAUGCAGCGACGCCGCGUGGGGGAUGGAGGCCUUCGGGUUGUAAACCUCUUUCGCCAGUGAAGCAGGCCUGUCGUGUUUGUGGGUGGGUUGACGGUAGCUGGAGAAGAAGCGCCGGCUAACUACGUG
rnacentral:rRNA from 1 species